rnacentral:rRNA from 1 species
UACGUAGGGUGCGAGCGUUGUCCGGAAUUACUGGGCGUAAAGAGCUCGUAGGUGGUUUUGUCGCGUUGUCCGUGAAAACUCACAACUCAAUUGUGGGCGUGCGGGCGAUACGGGCAGACUGGAGUACUGCAGGGGAGACUGGAAUUCCUGGUGUAGCGGUGGAAUGCGCAGAUAUCAGGAGGAACACCGGUGGCGAAGGCGGCUUUCUGGGACGGUACUGACGCUGAGACGCGAAAGCGUGGGGAGCGAACAGG